rnacentral:pre_miRNA from 1 species
AUCCUACUCCCUCCGUUCCGAAUUACUCGUCCAAGAAAUGAAUGUAUCUAGAUUUAUUUUAGUUGUAGAUACCCAUUUUUGUGACAAGUAAUUCCGAACGGAGGGAGUACAUA